GUUGUGGCUCAGUGGUAGAGCGCUGGCCUAGCAUGUGUGAGGUACUGGGUUCAAUCCUCAGCACAACA
rnacentral:tRNA from 1 species